rnacentral:rRNA from 1 species
CCAGUAGUCAUAUGCUUGUCUCAAAGAUAAAGCCAUGCAUGUCUAAGUAUAAACACCUUUAUACAGUGAAACUGCGUACAGCUCAUUAUAUCAGUUAUGAUUUAUUUGAUGGUUAUUUUCUACAUGGAUACCUGUAGUAAUUCUAGAGCUAAUACAUGCGUAAAGUCCCAACUCGUGAGGGAAGGGAUGUAUUUAUUAGAUAGCAAACCAAUGCAGGUUUCGGCCUGGUUUUUUGGUGACUCCUAGUAACUGUUCGAAGCGCAUGGCUUCACGCUGGCGAUAGUUCAUUCAAAUUUCUGCCCUAUCAGCUUUCGACGGUAGUGUAGUGGACUACCGUGGCAUUAACGGGUGACGGAGAAUUAGGGUUCGAUUCCGGAGAGGGAGCCUGAGAAACGGCUACCACAUCCAAGGAAGGCAGCAGGCGCGCAAAUUACCCAAUCCUGACACAGGGAGGUAGUGACAAAAAAUAACGAUACCGGGUCCUUAUGGAUCUGGUAAUCGGAAUGAGUACAAUUUAAAUCCCUUAACGAGGAUCCAUAGGAGGGCAAGUCUGGUGCCAGCAGCCGCGGUAAUUCCAGCUCCAAUAGCGUAUAUUAAAGUUGCUGCAGUUAAAAAGCUCGUAGUUGGAUUUCUGGUUAGAUUCGCUUGGCCCGCCACGGUGACGUGUGUGAGUGCUGGGUCGAAUCUGCCAUCCUUCGUUUAUGACUAGUUGUUCUUUAUUGAGCGGCUAGCUCGUGAACGAUCGUUUACUUUGAAAAAAUUAGAGUGUUUCAAGCAGGCUUUAGCUUUGAAUACAUGAGCAUGGAAUAAUAAAGUAGGACUUCGGUUCUAGUUUGUUGGUUUGGAGAGCUGAAGUAAUGAUGGAUAGGGACAGUUGGGGGUGCUAGUAUUCAGCGGCCAGAGGUGAAAUUCUUGGAUUCGCUGAAGACUCACUACGGCGAAAGCAUUCACCAAGGAUGUCUUCUUUAAUCAGACGAAAGUUGGGGGAUCGAAGACGAUCAGAUACCGUGUGGUCUCAACAUAAACGAUGCCGACUAGGGAUGAGUGAUCGUUGUUUUUUCGACUUCAUUCGCACCUUAGGGAGGA